rnacentral:lncRNA from 1 species
CUGUGAAAAAUAUCUUCCCUUAUACCAGAAGAAAAGUAAUAUUCUUAUCUUCCUUCUUGCUGCUGGUUAUUCAGACUGCAAUAAGUGGCAAGUGGGUGAGAGCUCCCUUUUCAAGACUUCCUGACUCCAUUUAAGAUGACGUUUCCUGUAUUUAUUUUCAUACACACCCUCGUUUAUUUUCAUAUCUCAACUCCAGCACUGUUGUAGACACAUCAAAGUUCAGAAGGAAAGGUCCAUGGUUAACUCUAAUUUUGAAGCAAUCUAAGGAAUCUGGAUGGACGAAAGGGUCACCACUGUUGUGACUAGACUGAUGUCUCUAGGCGCAAACCCAACAAUUAGGUAAGUUUCCCCCUUUUGUAGUAGAUUGAAAAUGUGUACAAGAGCAUUGUCUUUC